UGGGGAAUUUUGGACAAUGGGGGAAACCCUGAUCCAGCCAUCCCGCGUGUGCGAUGAAGGCCUUCGGGUUGUAAAGCACUUUUGGCAGGAAAGAAACGUCAUGGGUUAAUACCCCGUGAAACUGACGGUACCUGCAGAAUAAGCACGGGCUAACUACGUGCCAGCAGCCGCGGUAAUACGUAGGGUGCAAGCGUUAAUCGGAAUUACUGGGCGUAAAGCGUGCGCAGGCGGUUCGGAAAGAAAGAUGUGAAAUCCCAGAGCUCAACUUUGGAACUGCAUUUUUAACUACCGGGCUAGAGUGUGUCAGAGGGAGGUGGAAUUCCGCGUGUAGCAGUGAAAUGCGUAGAUAUGCGGAGGAACACCGAUGGCGAAGGCAGCCUCCUGGGAUAACACUGACGCUCAUGCACGAAAGCGUGGGGAGCAAACAGG
rnacentral:rRNA from 1 species